GGCAGUGUGGCAUAGUGGUUUGAGUGGUGGACUGUGACUCUAGAGACCAGGGUUCGAAUCCCAUCUCUGCCA